CUCCUCCUUCUCCUCCUCCUGCUCCUCCUGCUCCUCCUGCUCCUCCUCCUCCUCCUCAUCAUCAUCCUCCUCCUCCUCCUCCACCACCUCCUCCACCUUCUCCUCCUCCUCCUGCUCCAACUCCUUUCAAAUUCAAAAUCCGGUGUAUAUGAACGGACACUGAACGAGCAACCGUGGGAACAUGGUUAACUCGAAACGCCUCAGGCGCAGGCAAGCUGGUGAUUUCAACGGGCAGAUUUCAAGAGCUUCCUCCGCGCCGUCGGGACACGUCUGUCCUUGAGCUUUACGUCUGGGAUGCGUCCGAAUGCACGCGUCGCUCAUGGUGAUGGCGUCCGAAUACAUGGGAUUGACUCGAAUUCGUGUCAGUGUCAGUUUCCGCGGACAGUGAAGGACCUCGUGGCUCCGUUCGCGAGCACUCACUUCUCUCCAUUGAAACCCGCGUCGGAAUGACAACGACGCCAUUGGCUGCAGCGACGAGGAAUUCUGAUUGGUUACGGAUGAGAGAACUGCGUUUAUUGGCUGGCAUAAAAAAAGGAGCAUUGCGAUUGGACAGCUUGAUGAGGAGAACUUCGCGAGGGCGGGCGACACUGGGAGCUCGACAUCUCGACCCUGAUUUAACCUGUUUGAACUCCAUUAAGAAACGAUUAUAAAAACGUUAAUUAGACUUUACUUUAAGCUUUAUUGAA